GCGUGCAUAGUUCAACAGGCAGAACGCCCGCCAGCCCGGCGGGUGACGUUGGUUCGAGACCCGCUGCACGCUCCA
rnacentral:tRNA from 1 species